GAUGAACGCUGGCGGCGUGCUUAACACAUGCAAGUCGAACGGUAAGGCCCUUCGGGGUACACGAGUGGCGAACGGGUGAGUAACACGUGGGUGAUCUGCCCUGCACUUCGGGAUAAGCCUGGGAAACUGGGUCUAAUACCGGAUAGGACCACUGCCUGCAGGGGUGGUGGUGGAAAGCUUUUGCGGUGUGGGAUGGGCCCGCGGCCUAUCAGCUUGUUGGUGGGGUGAUGGCCUACCAAGGCGACGACGGGUAGCCGGCCUGAGAGGGUGACCGGCCACACUGGGACUGAGAUACGGCCCAGACUCCUACGGGAGGCAGCAGUGGGGAAUAUUGCACAAUGGGCGCAAGCCUGAUGCAGCGACGCCGCGUGAGGGAUGACGGCCUUCGGGUUGUAAACCUCUUUCAGCACCGACGAAGCGCAAGUGACGGUAGGUGCAGAAGAAGGACCGGCCAACUACGUGCCAGCAGCCGCCGUAA
rnacentral:rRNA from 1 species